rnacentral:ncRNA from 2 species
AAGGGAAACCGGUGCAAUACCGGUGCUGCCCCGCAACUGUGAGGGGGGACCGAUGCCGCAGUGAUGCCACUGUCCGAAGGGACGGGAAGGCGCGGCAGGCGGGAUGAUCCCCGAGCCAGGAGACCU